GACGAACGCUGGCGGCGUGCCUAACACAUGCAAGUCGAACGGGGGUAGCAAUACCUCAGUGGCGAACGGGUGCGUAACACGUGAAGAAUUUGUCCGACGGCGGGGGAUAGCCGGCCCAACGGCCGGGUAAUACCGCGUACGACCUUUGGGGGGCAUCCCCUGGAGGUGAAAGCCGCAAGGCGCCGAUGGAGAACUUCGCGGCCUAUCAGCUAGUUGGUGAGGUAACGGCUCACCAAGGCUUAGACGGGUAGCNGGUCUGAGAGGACGACCAGCCACACUGGAACUGAGAUACGGUCCAGACACCGUACGGGUGGCAGCAGUCGAGGUAUUUUUCUCAAGUGGGGGAAACCCUGAAGGAGCGACGCCGCGU
rnacentral:rRNA from 1 species